rnacentral:rRNA from 1 species
GACGAACGCUGGCGGCGUGCUUAACACAUGCAAGUCGAGCGGUAAGGCCCUUUCGGGGGUACGACGAGCGGCGAACGGGUGAGUAACACGUGGGUGACCUGCCCUCAGCUCUGGGAUAAGCCUGGGAAACUGGGUCUAAUACUGGAUAUGACUCCACGGUGCAUGUCGUGGGGUGGAAAGCCUUGUGCGGCUGAGGAUGGGCCCGCGGCCUAUCAGCUUGUUGGUGGGGUGAGGCCUACCAAGGCGACGACGGGUAGCCGGCCUGAGAGGGCGACCGGCCACACUGGGACUGAGACACGGCCCAGACCCCUACGGGAGGGCAGCAGUGGGGAAGUCUUGCGCAAUGGGCGAAAGCCUGACGCAGCGACGCCGCGUGAGGGAUGACGGCC